AUUGCAAGAAUAGCAUGUAUGUCAGCGUCUUUAUUAAAGUGUAUAAGUGUGAAUCUCUCUCAUAAAUAUUAUGUCAACAAUAACCUACAGUAAUUUUAAGCAUGAACCCCCCACCACCACCACCACACACACACACAGGAAUUACUGCUGACCAUUAUGUAUUUAUGUUUACAGGAGGAUCUGGUGGCCGCAGGGAAAACCCUAUUUGGCAAGCAAAACUUUUCCUCCUUCCAAGGCCAGAUAAUAAUUUCUGCCCCCCACAAUAGAACUUGAGGAACUGGCUAAACAUGGAUUAGGUAAACGUGAGAUUGAAGCAGAUAAGAAUUGAGUGUUAUUUACUUUUACACCUUAUUAUCUAACCUUCUUGCAAAGAAAGCUAUGGAAUGAGCUGCUUUGGAUUUUAUGUUAACUUGAGCCUAUAUGGUCCGAUUUGUUAUACUGUCUCUAUAUUUGGAAACAUUUGACUAUGUUAAUACUUUUAGCAUUUGUUUUAAAGAAAUAUUGCAGAGUAGUUUACUCUUUGAUGCAUUUCCAUAACAGUUUCCAUGUAGCCAUUUUAAUAGUUACACCUAUGCAACACUUUUUCAUGCCAAGGCAUCACUUUGAAAGUGUCCAGGAAUACCUCCCAAUAUAUUAUAUUAUAUUAUAUAUAUUAUAUACCAUAUAAUGUAUGUUAAUGUUCUUUCACAUAUGGUCAAAUGUGUGAUGGCCUUGUGAGUGAGACCAGGCUCUUUCUUCUGUCAUAUGCAAUUUUCUUAGGAGUGUAGGGUUCGUUUAGUUUCAAAGCUAUAAACUUAGUAGAAACACAAAUAAUCUUAGGUUAACUGUGGUAGUCACACAGGUCUACUUUUGGGGUUUGGCAACACUAUGAUUAUGUCUGUAAAUAUGAGUCCUGAAUGCUAGGAGUCCUGAAAGAUCUUGUAGCAACUAAUGAAUGUUACUUUGCCACUAGGAACCGAUUAUACUGAUGUUUACAUUUCCAUUUUUACGAAAACCUGUGCAUGAGUCAACGGAGGCCGGACGCACAAACUCAAAGAUUGGGUUAAACUGGAGUUUAUCUGAAUUGAACAACUUUGUUUGCCAAAGCUACCCUCGCAUCAGUUUAAAUUUGGUAGGCUUUGAAUUGGCAAGGACAGGCAAAGGAUGCAAGAUCCAGAAAUUGCAAGUUCGUUCUGUGAAGGAACUAAAAGCAGGCUUUACAUCGUGCCACGAGCCAUUGUCUUGCAGGUAACAUCACCACCCUCUGCCAUGUCCCAGAAUUCAUUCCCACCACUCGCAGCUCCAGCAGUAGAUGAGACCUCACAAGUGGUUUCAGAUCAGUUCCAUAUUAAAAUGAUUGCACAUCUAAUGAUUUGUGUUAUGUCCACUAUGCACUUUGUAGUGAUGAGUGGCAAAAACUAAUAUAAACCGUGUUGUUGUUUUUUUUUAAUAUGUGUUAAGAUGUAUCUAUUUAUUCUGUGUGAUGUCUGAGCAGUUACAUUCCCUAGGAUACGUUUUUGUACCUAUGGAUAUUUUCUAAUGAUGUAUUUUGUUUCCACUAUGAGUGUGUGUUCUCUUGCUGAAGGAGAAAUCAUUUGGAUUUUCUGUGUACUACCAGGUGGCAUCCACAUCCUCUGCCAUAUCCAUGAAUUCAUUCCCACCACUCUCAAUUGCUCCAGUACAAGAUGAGACCACGCCUGUGGCUCAGAGUACCCAAGCUCAAAGUGUGGUUGCAAAUCAGGCUCUUCAAGAAUGUCGAUCAAUACAUGCCCAGCAAGACCAGGGGGGUAUUGCACAAAAGCAAGAUAAGCGAUUAAGCUGGGAUUUUCCAGUUAUCCUGGCUGAAUUUAGCCCUGACUCGGUUGCAUGAAGGGAGGCUAAAUUAAUCUACAUUAAGUUACUAUGGAGAUUUACACUUUGCAGCUAGCCUGCUCUGGAGCAGGCUAACUGUCAGGCUAAGCUGAGCUCCUCUAACACUGACCAAUAGGAACGCAAUGAUAUUACAACUGACUCUCUCACAUACAAUUAUUUGACUUUAUUA